ACGGUGUUCCCAGCUGCAAAAGGAAACUUCAGCUCUGUGCCAUGGUGGAAUGAACUAUCUGAAUGUGGCAAAGGUGGACUCUCUGUAAAACCAAAAAUGGGAGAUGCUUUAUUGUUCUGGAGCAUGAAGCCCGAUGCUACCUUAGACCCUACAAGUUUACAUGGUUAGUCCUUUUUACUUUUCCUCCCUAUUUAACUUUAGCAUUAGAAGAUUGGUUACAUCUAAAUUAUCCUCCCUAAUCUUGUUUUUGAUAUGUAGGUGCCUGUCCUGUCAUUAGAGGGAACAAAUGGUCAUGUACAAAGUGGAUGCAUGUUGAUAAAUAUAUUUAACCAUGAGGUGAGUUACAUUUUUUGAAAGAUUAUUCUGUAUACAUCAUUAUAAAAAUAUAUAUUUUUUCCUUAUUGUGCAAAAUAAAUCUACCAAUAAAACUAGAAAUAGUGUAUAUAUUUCCUUUAAAUGUAAAUUGAGUACUUUUCUUUUUUAAACAAAUUAAUUUGUGUUGAAUUUGUAUAUUUACAUGGAGACAUUUUGAAGUGCAAUAGUUUUUUCUUUUUAUGAUCAUUUGUUAUUUUUCUUGAACAUAAAAGAACAAUUGGCAAUAAUAAAUUUCAAGAAAUUAUAAAUGAAUAAUGUAACAUAAUUUAUCCAUUUAUCCUCGAAUAUUUGUAUGAUUUAAAGAGAUUAUUUCCAAAUUGCAGGGUGUAAUGAAAGCACUUUGUUGGGGGAAGAAGACAAUUGGAAGACCACAUAUGAUUUUCUUUUUUAACAUUAUAUUUUAUAGCUUAAUUUGUUAUCCAUCCUCUUUAAUUUUACAUAUUUUGUUGUUAAUAUAAUAUAGAAAAAGUUCAUUUUUUUAAAGCAGAAAAUUUCUUUUAAGUUUAAAUUUUACAUGUUCCAUUUAAGGUUAUUUUUUUACAUUGAUAAACAUUGAUCAAUUAAAUCUAUUUGUAUCUAUUAUUGAUAUAAUUUAAAAUUUUGUUAUAUUUUAAAUAAUUUUGUCAUUUACAAUAAUUUUUCUAACUUUUUUGAUAUGUUAAGUGUAGCAAUAAUCUAGCAUAUGGUAUGGUUCAUGUCAAAAAAAAAAAAAAAAUAAUGUGGAUUUGAAAUACAAAUUUUGUUUAUCCUGUCAAAGAAAAUUAAAGAAAAAAAAAAGUCUAUUAAGAUCACUUUUAUAUGUUAAAAAAAUAUACUAAAAAGACUCAACACAUAAAUAAUUAUUAUUUUGUUUUUGUUUUAGUUAAUGGAUAUUUUAGGUCUUAAACCUAAUUAACUACUUUUUAGUAUUAAAUUAGUUAACCAAUCAAACUAUUAAGAAUAGCCUUUUGUUUAAUUAUAUUUAUUUUAUUUUUACUUCAUAAAAUCCAUCUUUAAUAUUAUUAAAUUAUUUAGUUUACUUUAGUUGAUUAUUAUCUGUUAUUUCAUAUUUGUUUAUUAAUUUCCCAAUAGUUUUAUUACAUAAUUUAGUAAUACUUUUUCAUUAAUAUUUUAUUAUAAACACAAUUAGAGGGGUUUGUUAAUACUUUUUACCCAACACAUGUUUUUACCUUUUUGAUUGGAUAAUAUCUAAACUAUCUUUGUGAUUAUAAUAAGGUGAGUUUUUAAUUAAAGUUGUGCUAAUUGAAGAUGGAUAUAUUAAUUAACAUGCCUUCAAAAAUUGUCAACUAUAAUAUAAUAUAAAUAUUUCUAAUGGUGAAAAUUAAUUACCAUAUUGAAUUGCAGGGGUUUGCUGCCCAUCCAUCAUAUACCCUUCAGAUAUUUUGAUUGAUAUAUUUAUAUUUUUUUAUUGGUUUCAUCUUGAUUUGAGGUGAAUCCAUAUUUCCACAAACAACCAAAUGUUACUAAUGUAAAUUAGAUGGUAUAAACCAAAUGUGUCUCGGGUGCAUCAAUACCAAUCUCUCUUGCUUAUUCAAAUUUCUCUUGCUUUGUGAAUAUGAACAAAACAGUUGUUUGUGUAUUUUUCUCACUUUCAUUAUUCUGUUAAUAUUUUAUGAGUGUUGUUGGUAGCAAAAAUAUGAACAUAAAAGCUCACAUUUACGUGUUCUAAGCAAUAUAUUUUAAUUUAGAGAAGAAAGAAAACGUCAGAUAAAAAUAAAAAAAAAGAGAUGUGUUCUACGAGACUUUUGAUGCUUAAAUUAAUAUGUAGUGAAGAGUUGGAGCAAACUAGAAGUAGGAAGAAUAACUUACCUUUUGUGGAGGUAUGGACUCUUGAAAGACAUAGGCUUUAGGAUUUCUAAUGUCAAUUCAGGUCGUAUCAUAAUAAGGGAUUAAGAACUUCACCUAUAUAGGAAAUGGGCCUUUGAAUGUAAAAGAGAGUGACCUCGACCUUGGGACAUUGUAGUUAGGUUGUUGCUUGGUUUGAAGUGGCCUCGACUUUGGCCUCCAAGGUCGAAAAUGGCAUAUGUUGCUUGAACCAAUUUUCUUUCUUCUCUCGGUCUCUCUCUUCCUCCCUUGGCUCCUUCUUAUACUCUUUUCACCCUUAUAACUACUCUUAUUUCAAUUUUAUGCUUAAUGUACUCUUUCCAACUUGUGACUCUAGCACCAAAA
rnacentral:lncRNA from 1 species